GCCUGCACAGAUCAGUAACUUUACAGCCAUGCUCUUCGCUCUGGCGAUUGCCGGCGCUGCAUUCUUGCUCCUGCUCAAGCUUGUCUCCCGCAUUGUCGUGAACCUCACCAGCCUGCUGCUUGGUCAUUGCACCUAGUACCUCGCCGAAGGGAGAGCUAACGAUGCGGGUACAGUCGUGGAAGCCAUACAUCAGGUCUCGACCCUCGCCCUGCAGUUCGACGCAAGGCAGAAAGGAUCCUGCCGCAGGCACCACACCGCAGCCUCCUCGUGAUAGCCGGGUGGCACUACUGAACCACCUCCGCGGUCGAGCACCUUCCUCGGAGUCUUCCAGGCUCGCGACGACUGCACCGCUGCCUCCUCGUUUCCAAAUUCGGGCGUGCCGCCUGGUGCGGGGACGUGUUGUUGGAGUGUGGCGUCCCCGAAGGGACCCCGCACUUGUGACAUCCGAUUUGUGAUACAAGUUCGUGGUUACCAUUUCGGUAGAACGACAGUCCACAAGCGGAGUAAAUGUUUACAGGAAUUUGUUGCGAGGCCUCAUCAUGGCACUUUCGGAUUUCGCCUUGGACAGGGCUGGUUCUGGUCGAGGCCAUCGAUGGCGCCUAUAGCGGUGCCCUCAGGAGUCGACACUCGCCGGCAGCCGAGAACAGAGUGGGCAGCCAGACUACCAAGUGCACAGGUCGGGACAUGACCACGCGGGAACCGGGCCCGAGCAGCGGGCUCCACACCAGCGCCGGCACACGGAUUCCGCCUUCCCACAGCGUGCCCUUGACGCCUCGCAGCGGGCAGUUGGAGCCAGUGUUCGAGAACGUUCCCCACGGCAUGGCACCGUUGUCACUGGUGAACACGAUGAAGCUGUUGCCGAGCGUGCAACGUCUGUGCAGGGCCUCGACGAUGCGGCCGACGGACUCGUCCAAUGCGUCCACCGCGCCUGGUGAGAGCCAGCCGUAACAUGCUAGGUUUAGCUUGACGUACUCGUAAUGUGACCAAAGGAGGUUAUUGCAGCCGCUAGGGUAAGCAUCAAACGUACACUGAAACGGAUUUGUCGUCUACAACAACUGUAAAGGACACCAAGAAAAGACAGCCGUAUUUGUUCGAAUAAAGGUCGACGUUGUUUCUUUGUUUUCGAAAA